UCAAUUUAAGCAAGUUAUAAAAGCGGAGGACCGAUCGCGCAAAUUGUCUAUUUGAAAGAAAUGCGCGGGUCGGGUCACACGGGUUAAAGGCUUAAACGGCGCCGUUUUGAUUGUAUAUUAAAACCAAAAUUUUCCUUAAAAAUUUUCAUUUUCUGUUUUAAAACAAAAGAAGAUGAAAAAAAAGGGGGGGUGCUCUGCUAGGGUUUCGACCCUAGCACCCCCCACGUCGCCGCCGUCAAAAAUCUACCGCCACUAGGCCGUCCCUUGGCCUCCGACGACGCUCCGGCGACACCAGGUAAGCCUCCUUUCUCUCCCUCUUCGUUUAUUUGUUUUAAAAAACAAAAAAAGAACCUCCAAAAAAACAGUAAAAGUAAAAAGAAAAACAAAAUAAUCACCUUCCAAAAACUUUCUUUUCUAUUUCUUUUCUCUUUCGUAUUUUCUCUUUAAUUUCGGUACAAAAAUUUUCUCACCCCCCUUAACAGAUUCGAUUGGCCUUUAUAUAGCCCUUACUAAAUCCUUUUACAAUUGUUUUGCUGCGUGUAUAUCUUGUUGUGUUGUUCGUGGCUUGCAGGUGUGUGAGCGUUGUGCGGGUGGACGUGCAAGCGAAGACGUGGGGCGGUUACUGCGUUGUGCGUGGUGAAGUUGCUGCGAUAGAGAACAUGUGCGGCGCAGGGAGAAUUAGGGUUCCUAGAAUCAGUUUAGGAUUAGGUUAAUUGGGUUAGGCUAAAUUUGGGCUUGAAUUAAUGAAAUUGGGCUAUAUUGGGCCGAAUAUAUUUGGUUUAUUGGGCUGUGCAAAUGGUUUUGGGCCCCGGGCAACAAUUGGGUAUCACAAUUGCGGCAUUUGAUAUUUUAACAGUUGAUAUUUUAACAGUUUGCUUGAUUUAAUAUCGCGACUAUCAUUUUUAUGGUUUGCUCGAUUUAAUAUCACGACCUUCGAUAUUUUAAUAGUUCGCUUGAUUUAAUAUUGCGGUUAUCAUUUUUACGGUUCACUUGAUUUAAGAUUGCAACUUUCGAUAUUCUAACAGUUCACUUGAUUUAAUAUUGCGGUUUUCAUUUUUACGGUUCGCUUGAUUUAAGAUCCCGACCUUCGAUAUUCUAAUAGUUCGCUCGAUUUAAUAUCGCGGCUGUCAUUUUUACGGUUCACUUGAUUUAAGAUCGCAACCAUCAGUUUUCUAAUAGUUCACUUGAUUUAAUAUCGUGACUGUCAUUUUUACAGUCCGUUGAUUUAAUAUCACGACUUUCAGUUUUCUAAUAGUUCACUAAUUCACAAUCAUGAUUGUCGUUUUUAAAGAUCACUAAUUUCUUCGACAAGGUAAGGGACAUUUUUACUUACGGGAAAUACAGUUCGCAGUAUUCUAUAACUUGUUUCCUUAAAACCAUUUCUCAAAUAACCUUUUAACUUCAGUACCACACCGUCAGACAAUGGAACUUACUCAGUAGAGUUUCGAGUUAAAACUUACGUAAUAAGCCUCCAAUUACAUGUUCCAUGUUUCUAAGUUUGUUUAGAAGAAUUACUUUAUAACUCUUUUUCGACAAUGUGGGAGACAAAUUGUUAUACAAUUAUAAUAAAAUAUAAUAAUCUAGCCCGAAGUUUAACUCGGAAUUUCAUCCGAUUAACCUCCAUAUAUAUAUUUUAAAGACCCUUUUUGAGGGGGACAGUACUCCAUUUUUCAUUAUCUUCUUCCCUGCUACUUGACCAGGACACUAUCCCCCUCCUUAUUGACCUCUGUUGAUAUUGUCUAUCAAUAAUUAGUGUCGAUACCGUUUUUUGAAAACAAAAAUUUUAGUUGUCGACUUUUAAAAAUAAAACUGGAGUCGCCACCGAUCCUUUAUUAAGGUGUGACCGGCCCACCUUAAAAACUAUUUUGGUCUGUGAAUUUUGAAAACAGGUUCGGGAGUCAGUUACGCACGAGGAAGGAUUAGCACCCUCGUAACGCCCAAAAUCAGUACCAAAUUGAUUAUUUGAUGUCUUUUGUGUCGAAAGUUAAAAAGAUUUUAAAAUAAGCUUGAAUGAUGAAAUUUGCAAAAGGAUAUUCAAUUGUUCAAGUCAUGUACAGAAAUCGAGUCCCAAUACGUUAGGGUACAAUUCCUCAUAAUUCCCCAAACUUGAAUAUCACUUUUAUUUUAUACGAAAAUCUUCAUUUCGAGAAAGUAACAUGCCACACCCAAUACGUUAGGGCACAACAAGUUAAGUUCCCAAAAAUGAUUUUUAUGCAUUUUGAAAAAAUGUUCUCAGUCAUUUAAGACUGACAAAGAAAAUCAGAACCCAAUACGUUAGGGCUCAAUUUCCCUCGAAAAUCCCAAACUUCCGAAAAUACUUUUAUUCAAAAAAAACCUUUAAAUCAAGAAAAUAAUUUUGAUGAAUGGUUAAAACCAAAAUAUAUUUCCAAAAGGGUAUGCUAAAGUGCUUAUAUACAAUAUGAUAUGGAUCCUUUAAUUUUCAACAUACACGAAUAAAUAUUUGCAGAUAUAUAUAUAUACAAAUACAAUAUAACAAUAAAGUUGCAAACAUAUGUUCACAUAUAUCUAACACAUAUACAAGUAUACAUACAAAUAGAAGGAAUAAAAUAUAUCCAAUAAGACGAACACAAAAACAUGUAUUCAAAAUGAAACAAAAAGGAAAAAAAUGCAUAUGUAUAUAUUUACAAAAAGUAAAGUAAAACAAAUAAAAUAUAAAAGAUAUAUAUGUUUUGUAAAAAAAUGCAUGUAUUUAUAAAAUAAAAAAAAUAUGUUAAAAAAUAUAAAAAUGCAUAUAUAUUAUAUAUAAAAAUAGGCGUAUGUACCAUAUAUAAAAACAUUUAUAAAUAUAUUAUGUAAAAACUGUGCGUGUAUGAAUAUAGAGGUAAUGAUAAUAACUAUGAUAAUAAAUAAUAUAACAAUAUGAAACAAUGAUAAAUAUUUUUUUAAAAAAAUAAAAAAACAAAAUGGACUAAAUUGAACUUAAAAACAAAAAACUGGGCGAAUUUUGAAUAAAAUUUUAAAAGAAAGGGCCCACUUGAACACGCGCGUAACAAAGGAGGACCAAAAGGGGAAUUAUCCCGUCCUUCCAAAACGCCGUGCAGCGAGGGACUAAAUUGAAACAAAAAUAAAAUAUGCGACCCAAUUUCUAAAAUAAGUAAAAAGGAUUUAAUUAAAAAGCGUUGCAAAAAAGGAAGGGCCAAUUGCGCAAAUAGACCAUGUGACGUCAGAGCGCGCGGAUCCUCCCCUCCGAGUCGGGUCACCGCGCGGGUCAGGGCCUGGACGAAACGGCGCCGUUUUGAAUAUUGUUUAAACCCAAAUUUUUACCCUUCAAAAUCAGUUGAAACCGAAUGGGAAAAAAAAUAAAAUAAAAUAAAGUCUCUGGUGCUCUGCUAGGGUUUCUCCUAGCUUCCUUGCACCGCCGUCCUAUCAGCCCCCACCGCAACUCCAUGUAAUCGGAGACUGGAGGGGUGCCACAUCUGGGUUCUCAAACCCUUCUUAGCAGCUUCCGAGGGCCAAGGUAAGUCUCCUUCCCUUUACUCCUUUUAUUUUUUGCACACAAAAGCACAAUAAAAAAACUUCAAAUAAUCACCUUAAAAAAACUGGUAUUUUACUCUGUUUUCUCUUGAUUUCUCGAUUUCUUUGUGUAUUCUCUCUGUCCACCAAAAAAAUCCCCCUUUUUACAGAUUCAAAAGGGCCUUUUAUAGGCCAAAAAUAAAAUAAAUCGAGGGAAAAAACAAUCUUGCUUGCUAUUUUUUCUCUUUGGACUCUUUGAGUCCGUUUUUCAGGUGUUCGCGGAGACUACGGUGCUGGGGAGGGAGUGGGCUCCGAGACGUGCGCUGAUUGGAGGAGCUAGUCCCGAAACGUGCGCCGAUCGGGGUCUAUUGGAGGCGGGGAGGCUGCUGCGGCUAGGUUGAGCAGCGCUAGGGUUUCUGCUUUCAGUGUUUUGGGCUGGGGUUUCUAUUGGGCUAGGGUAAUUAUUGGGCCACUUAUUUGUUGGGUUAGGAUUGUUUUCUUUUUGUGUUUGGACCCAGGCCGAUUGGGCCUUACUACAAUUAGCAUUAAAAAGUAUAUAAAUUUAUAAUACUUUAAAUAGAUUAAAAGCAAAAUUUCUUUUUUUUUCCCUUUUCUUUCCUUUAAAAGAUGAAAUUAACCUUCCACAAUAACAAAUUUCCAUUGUUUACCUGCCUCCAGAAUUCUCAAUUGUAGCAUAUUAAGCAAUCGGGCUGGUUUUAUAUUAUGUUAACUAUAUAUCUAUCUAUCUUUAUAUAUAGUAUUUAUUAAGUGUAUAACUAAAUUAGUAUCACUCUCAAUGGAGUCAUUAUUUCGAUCAAAAAAUUAUAAAAAUGUCUAUCUGUAAUUAGAAAAUUAUAUUAUUCGAAGGUAUUUUGACUUUUUCAUUUUAACAAAACUAAUUAAAAUAUUAUAUGGUGGGAUUUGAACCUGCACCAAUUAGAUUACUAAUCUAGUAAACUUACUACUCAACCAAAAUUUCAUUUUAAUAUAUUCUAUAUAUAUUUGUUUUAAUAUACACAAUUUAUUAUCUCCAUAAAUUAUAUAUAUAUAUACACUAAUAAUAUUGCUUGAGUAUGUCUCAUAAGUCAACUCGAUACUAACUUAUAAUUAAUGUCAAAACCAUGAUAAACAAUUAUAGUGCAUUUAGUAUUUUUUAUCUGAUGUAUUUAUGUAUUUAAAUUUUGCUUUACUUAUAAUUCAAUCUAUUUGUUUAAUAUGAUUAAUUAGUUUCAAACCAUACAUUUCAUUGUUUAUUUCAUUGUUUAUUGUAUGUUAGCUUCAAAUGGGCAUCUAUGUUUCAAAUAUGUGGUUUCUACAGGCGUACGCGUGUAAUAAGAUUUUUAGUACUAACAUUGUAUUUGAUUGAGUUACUAUCACAAGUUAACUCAACACGGACUCAAAAUUGAUAACAAUACACUGUUAAACAAUUAAAUCUAAUCUUUUUUAAUUUUAAUAUCGCACAUAUUUUAUGUGUAAUUAUUAUUAAUUAGUUUCAAGUCAUACGUUUCAUUAUUUAUUGUAAGUUAUUUUUAAAUACACACGUGUUCUUAAUACGAGAUUUCCACACGCAUACGCAUUUGAUAUGAUUUCUAGUACAUAUUAAGUGUUAUAUUGAAUUGAUGUCAUAAGUCAAUCGCAUACCAACGUAGUUAUAAAAUUACUAAAAUAUACCCUAUACAAAUUAAUUUAUAUUUUUAUGAGGGUGUUUUUAUCUUUUAAUAUGAUAUUGUCUUUUAAUAUGAUAGAUCAAUUAAAAAUAAUCAUAAUAAAAUUACACCCAAAACACUAUGCAUGAUAAAUAAUUAAUUUUAUCAUUAUAAUCAAAAUAUCAAUUAAUUUUUAUGUAACUUUUUAAUAAAUAUAUUUGUUACAUAAUUUUUUAUAGAUACGAGUAAAUUAUAAUAUAUUUUCUAGGACAUGGAGUUAAAAAUCAUUAGUAAAAUCCCUGCCUAAUUGAAAUCACGAGAAUUUUACAUGAUUCUAGGUUAUCCCUCCUAAGAGUAGAUUUCUUAGAGUUCAUUCAUGCCAUCUUUUUAAUAGUUUUUCAUCAAAAAGAUAGAAGAAAGCAAAUGCUAGUGUCACGGCCCGCAGUUCAAAGCCCGUGACCAUCACACUAAAUGCAUCUAAUGGAGGUCUAUUGCUCAGAUGGGGAUCAUUUGGCCCACGAGAACUGGCCUGAUUCAAAAAGAUAUUGGAGAAGCUUGUCAGAUUAAAGCCUGGUUGGCCCGAUAGUGAAGAGAUGGUGUAACAGCCCGAUUUUGACCCAAAUCGGAACAGUGGUUUCGGGACCACAAAUCUGAAUUAAAAAAAUAUUUUAAUAUUAUUUUCUGUGUUUAUUAUGUGUGAAUUUGAUUGUGUGAAAUUUCUGUGUUUUAAUUUCAUCGUUUACGUGUUCGAUUUAAUAAAAGGGUUUAAUCGCGUAAAAUAAAAAUUUAAGGGUUAAAUCUAAAAGUACCUAAAUGUUAUUGUCUUUUUAAAUGGGAGGAUUUAUGAUGCUAUAAGACCAAAAGUUAGAUAGUGGGUGGCAUUUGACAAGAGUAACCUUAAUAUAUAUGUUAGACAAAAUUAUUAGUAAAAGGUUAAUAUAGUAAUAAGGUAAAUAUUAACUUUAUAAUAAAAUUAAGUUAUGAAAAGAUGAAUGUGUUCAUCUUUUGUUAGCCGAAUAUUGAAAAGGAAAGAAACAUACAUGGUUUUUUAAGUUUCGGCACUUCUUUAGCUUGGGUAAGAUCAAGAAUUAAAGAAAUCGGACUUGGAUCGGGGAAAAAAUAAAGUCGUCGAUUAAUUGUCUCGUUCCGGUUUAUCGCUGUUCGAGGUAAGUUUAUAAGCAAUUAGAUGUUAAAAUUUCUGAAUGAAUGUUAAUUACAUAUAUGCUGAAAUGAAAUAUGCAAUUAUAUAUAUAGCUAAAUGCGUUUUAGUUCGGAAAGUAAAAAUAAACGUGAAUGCGAUUUAUCGAUAUUUGGCACUAAGUGUGCGACUAUGGAAUAGCUAUGGCUAUAUGAAUGGCACUAAGUGUGCGAAAUUAAAAUAAUGAUGUUGGAUAAUGGGCACUAAGUGUGCGAAAUUAAAAUGAUGAUGUUGUAUAACGGGCACUAAGUGUGCGAUACCGAGAGCAACUUGGUUAGAUGAGAAAGAGCACUAAUUGUGCAACUUCAUUAUGGCCUCGAUCAAUUAUUUAGUACAUGAUAGUACAAGUAUACAAUGGAUGAAUAAUACUUGAUGUCAAGGUAAUUAGGUUAUUUCAAUUGUGAAGAGAAAAAUUUAUACGAGGUAAAUGAGAGUAUAUGAUUAUAUGAAAGUUUAUAUUCGGCCAAAUGGUAACUAUAUAGGAUUUUAUAAUUAUGUUUUAUAUACAUUUAUUUAUGAAUGAGUACAUUUGGUAAAGAUAGGGUAUAUGAAUUGAAUAUGAGAAUAACUAUGUUAUUGUUUAAAGACCUAUUCGGCCAAGUUGAAAUUAGUUCAUGGUUUCAUAUUUGAUAUUUAAGUUUUACAAGCUCGAAUAUGUAUAUAUACGAAUAUGAUUGCAUUAUUUGAUUUUAUUAUUGAAUUGUUAAUGUCAUUGAAUUGUUUAAUUUCUUAUAACUUACUAAGCUAAGUUAGCUUACAAUGUGUUGGAUAAUUGUUUUGAUGUAUAGAUUUUGGUGAUCGCUACGUGUUCGGGGAUCGUUAGCUAAGCUCAUCACACUAUCGAUAUCUUUUGGUAUUUUGUUAAAUUUUUGAAUUUGGUCGUAUGGCAUGUAUAGACUAGUUGUGGACUUUAGCUUAAUUUGAUAGUGUGGGUGUAUUAAAGCCAUGCGAAAAUGGCUUAAUAUCCUGUCUUGUUUAUUUUGGAUUGGAUUAUGAAUCAUACAUGACUUGAUAAAAGUUUAGUAUUUUAUGAGUAAUAUUUCACAUGUGAAUAUUAUGUGUGGUUUAUUUGGUUGGUAUCAAAGUGAAUAUAUUAUAUGAUCUAUAAUAAAUGUAAUUUUAAAAGAAAAUAUAAAAAAAUGUUAAUGUCUAUGUAUAUGUUUGUGGUUGUUUAUUUUGUUUGAUAGGUUAAAGAGAUUACCAAGAAUUAUAAAAGUGAUAUUUGUUUUGUAUCUUGGAUUAAUAAAGUAAUGAAAUAAAAUAUGGAAUUAGGAAGUGAAUUAUGUUGAGUAUUUGUGAAUAUGCAUGAAAAUAGUUAUUUCGUUUAUAUGCCGUUAAAAUGGUAUAUGGUUUGAUGUUUAAACAUUGGCUUUUGUUUCAUAAUUUGAUUAGUAAAAAUAGGUUGUUUUGACAUUUAAUGUAAUAAAAAUAAAUUAUAUACUUAUAAUAAGACAUGAAUUUUGGUUGUAUAAAUAGAACAUGUAUAUUUGUUUUACAUUUGGGAAUGAAUUGAUUUGGUUACAGGAGAAGCUAAUUACCGAAUACACGUUAAAUUAUUUUGGACAUUUUUUUUAAAGAGAUGUAUGUGGGUUUGACAUUAGUAUGUAUAAAAUACUUUUAUUGUAUAAUUUAAUUUUGGUAAAUAAUACUUGGCUAAUCAUAAAUUCAAAUUAUAUGGAAUUUUAUUUGGCUAUUAUGUGCUUGUAUAUUCUUUUCGAAUGGGUGAAUUGACAAAUUUAGUAACUCUGUGACUUGAUUAUUAUAACGUAAUUAGUUACUCUAUUUUAUUUAAAUAGGCUUGGUCAUAAUAAUAUAAAAUGCUAUUGAUUAAAUAUUUUAUGUGCAAUGAUUGAGUUUGUUUAUUUAUUAUAUCUUUUAUUAUUAAUGCUGAUUAUUAAAUUAUGAUUGAAUAAAAAUAUCAAAUCGUGCUAUGUUCGGUAAUGCCUUAUAACCCUAAUCUAACGACGGAAACAGGUUAGGGGUGUUACAGAUGGCAACUUAGGCUAAUAUGGUAACUAAUCUUAGAAGAUAGAGAGAAUCAUAUCUUGUAAAGAUUAGAUUAGAUUAGAUUUGAUAAGGCAUAUCUUGUAAAUCCCUAAAAUUAAGGGAUAUGGAUUAAUCUCGUCCGUCGAUGUAAUUGUAUUUUGACCGUCGGUUUUGGGGGAGCUCAACUAUAAAUAUAGAGCUUCCCCCUCAUUUGUACUCACUCCUAAAUUGUUUCAUUAUUCUUUGUGAAUAAGAAUUGAGAGCAUUUACUCAAACACUUUGCGAGCGCUCUUUCUGUUGUUCUCUUGUAGCUUCUUUUGGCACAAUCGCUUCCGCUAUACAAAUUGGUGCCUUGGAGGAGUUUUAAGGAAUCCUCACUUUUAGGCUUAAAGGCUGACUUAGGCGAGUUUGAAGCAAACGGAUCGCCUAAGGCCGCACGGUUUGCGAGACGAAAGGUCUAGCCCCGUGACAAGUGGUAUCCGAGCCAAGGUUUGAACCAAGUAAUAUUCGAGUUGUUGGUUCAAAGGCACCGUUGGGAUGUCAAGAGAAGAGUUUGAACAAAGGUGGGGGAGGAAGUCUUUGAGGGAGAUGUUGUCGGCUGUUGAGGAACACGUGGGGAAACUUGAGGAGUCCAUGGAGGACGCCAAAGAGUCGAGCAAUGCGCUUAGGGAAAGCAUUGAUGACUUGAGGGAGCAAUCCAGGGACUUUGUUACCGAGUGUCUCACUUCCCAAAGGGAUAACGUGCGAGAGUUGCUAGAUUCCCAAAGGAAGAAGCUGACGGGAAGGAACGAUGCUCUCGAGGCCAUGAUGAUGGCUUUGAAGGAGGAAACAAUGGCCACGACGAGGGCUUUGAGCACAAGAAUAGAGGAGCUCGAAGAAGAGCUGGCCUUGUGUCAAGCAGCCGUGGGGAAAGGAGUGGCAAAUGCAGCACUCAAUAACGAGGAUGUCCCGAAGCCGAAAGAGUUUGUGGGGACAAGAUAUUCAUGCGAUGUGGACAAUUUCUUGUGGAGGAUGGAGCACUACUUCCGUGCCAAAGCAUCGUGGAUGAUGCAGUUAAGGUAAAUACUGCUUCAAUGUUUCUUACUGACAUUGCGCUUUUAUGGUGGCGACGUAGGACCACAGAUAAAAGGCAAGGGGAGAUUGAGACGUGGCAAGAGUUCCAAUGCGAGUUGAAGGGACAGUUUUACCAGAGUUUGCCGAGGAAGAAGCUCGGGCAAAGUUGCAAGGUAUAUAGCAAUGGGGCAUAGUAGGGGAGUAUGUUCGAGAGUUCAAGGAACUCAUGCUCCAAGUUUUAGAGGUGACCGAAAGAGAAGCAUUGCUUGCUUUUCAGAAUGGAUUGAAGUCGUGGGUCAGACAGGAGGUGGAACAAAGAGGUGUCCAAAAGCUGUCGGAAGCCAUGACGGUAGUUGAGUCCGUGGUGAAGCUUGGUCUAGGGAAAGACAAGCUUGAGUCUUCCAAGUCCGAUGGAAGGGGCGUAUGUGAAAUGGAUCACAAGGAAAAUAGUGUUGAUAGCAAUGGCAACGGCGACAAUGGUGGUAAUGGGAAACCACGAGUUGGGAAAAAGAAACCCAAGAGGAAAAGGGACAAGCUAAAAUGCUUUCUCUGCGACGAUCCACACAUAUUGAAGAAAUGUCCGAGGAAAUCCACGCUUAAGGAGAAGCCGGUGGGUAAGGCCUUGGUACUUGGUUUGAGCGCAAUGGGUGUCAAAGCCAAGGAGGUCGAAAGCGAGAAGAAGCCAAUGGAGUGCUUCUUGUGUCAUGGUCCGCAUAGGUUGCGGAAGUGUCUGAGGAAGUCUGUCAUCGAGGGGAACGAUGAAGUAGACAAUGAGACCAAGAAGCUUGGUCGAGCAAAAGCCGAAGCCAAGAGGGUAAAGAGGAGUAAAAAGAAGCAAGUAAAAUGCUUCUUGUGCCGUGGUCCGCAUGAGUUGCGGAACUGUCCAAAGCAAGCCGAAGUCAAAAGAAAGGCAACGUCUGAGCUUGGUGAGUCAUCGGAGGGGCUUACACCCAAGGAAGAGGUGAGUUUGUCAUCGAACUUAGAGGAAAGAGUUGCGAUGAAAACAGUGAAGCUGAGACCAAUGAUGCUCAAGUUGAGUGAAGCUGAGACCAAUGAUGCUCAAGUUGAGUGGUGCAUCAGACUUCGAAGGAAAAGAAGCGAUGCAUGUGAGACAGUUGACCAGAUUAAAUACGAUGAGUAGGACGGCUCGAGUUUAGAAGUGACGUAAGCCGAGGCAAAAAUCCCGAAGAAAGGGAAAGGCUAAGGCGUCGAGACGAGACCGAGGCGAAUCAAGUCAGUGCCAUUCAGAAGUCGCAACGAGGGCAUUGAGAGAAUGGGUGGGGGAGAAUGUCACGGGCUGCAGUUCAAAGCCCGUGACCAUCGCACCAAAUGCAUCCAAUGGAGGUCUAUUGCUCAGAUAGGGAUCAUUUGGCCAACGAGAACUGGCCCGAUUCAAAGAAAUAUUGGAGAAACCUAUUAGAUUAAAGCCUGAUUGGGCCGAUAGUGAAGAGAUGGCAACUUAGGCUAAUAUGGUAACUAAUUUUAGAAAAUAGAGAGAAUCAUAUCUUGUAAAGAUUAGAUUAAAUUUGAUAAGGCAUAUCUUGUAAAUCCUUAAAAUUAAGGGAUAUGGAUUAAUCUCGUCCGUCGAUGUAAUUGUAUCUUGACCGUUGGUUUUGGGGGAGCUCAACUAUAAAUAGAGAGCCUCCACCUCAUUUGUACUCACUCCUGAAUUAUUUCAUUAUUCUUUGUGAAUAAGAAUUGAGAGCAUUUACUCAAACACUUUGCGAGCGCUCUUUCUGUUAUUCUCUUGUAGCUUCUUUUGGCAUAAUCGCUUCCGCUAUACAAAUUGGUGCCUUGAAAGAGUUUUAAGGAAUCCUCACUUUUGAGCGUAAAGGCUGACUUAGGCAAGUUUGAAACAAACGGAUCGCCUAAGACCGCACAGAUUGCAAGACGAAAGGUCUAGCCCCGUGACACUAAAAUGUGCCAUGAAGAUGAUGGUUGUGAUUACGUCAUUUUUUAGUACGGCCGACGAGAUCGCACAUAGCCUAAUCUAUUAGAGCUUCUCCAGCAACAUAUUCAUUUUAUCUUUUUACUCGUAUUGUUGAAUAAUUUAUGCUAUCGCAAGCAUUUUCUUAAAGAAAAACACAGAUAGUACUAAGAUGGUGUAAAAUUAAAAAGCAGAUCCUAAAAUCUUAACUAGGUAUUGGUUUUAGCACGUAUAUGUAUUGCUUUGUUUUUUAAGCACUACUCAAGUUGGGGUGUAAACAUAUGGCAGUCUAGCAAGAUUAUCAUCUUUUUCUAUUGAUUAGGGAUUAACACUUCAAAUGCACGCUUGUUUCUCAUUUGACUUACAGGAUUAUGGUGCUUGAUCCAAGGAUCAUUGGAAAGUUGCACUUCUGUUCCCAGAUGCAGGAAAAGCUUGACGUCGCCUAGCUUGAGGAAAUUGUUUAGAUCCAUCGUCUAUUUGCAGUCGCCCCAUUGCUGAACUUUUCUUCUUACCACCAGACUUUGCAUGGCUUCCUGAUUCUGUCUCUGCAUCUUCUCCAAACUUAAUCUCUUUCCUGGCUGCUUCAUAAUCAAAUGGCUUUAUUUGCAAAACACCACUAGCUUCUUUUGAUUUCUUCACUUUAACUGCUUUUCUGUUUUGAUUCAUAGACUCGAAGCACUGUUGGAAGCUGGUAGAUAAAUCGGAUAAAGACAUAGUCUUAUCUUCUUUUUCCGUUUCAGAGGAAGGUGCCAUACAACUCUCCUUCCCAGGUGUAUCAUUGACUUCCGGACUACCACUACCAUCAACUUGUUCAUCCUUUUUUGAAUUAUCUUCUAACAUGAUAAUAUCUUCUAAUGUCGACGACUCAGUAGCUACCACAACAGGAGGUUCUUUGGGCUGUGGUGCUUCUGGAAAUUUAGUUGGCUCGUUAACAGGAGGUUUUGACUGCUCUGCUGUGCCCGAGAAUGAGUGAAAUGAAAGAUUUACUGAAGAUCUGAUCUGCGCCAACUUACUAUCUUCCUUCUCCUAGAUGACGACAAUAAACAAGAUAGCAAUGAAUUACUUUCCACAAUAUGCACAAAGGAAUCAAAACUAAAGUAAUCGCAAUGAUGGACAAAUGCGACUGUCAUGGACUGUGAUGGAGCAUUUACACUGGUUUCAAUACCGCAACAAAAUCAAAAGCCACAACAGCAAAAUAGAGGAAUAACUUGACUCACCUUUUUCUCCAUAUCAAAUUUCAUCUUCGUGGAAGCAUUCCCCAGAAGUGCUCCAAAGCCACAGCUUGGUUUCUUUAGAACCUGAAUAGUUGCUCCAGUUGCCUACAGGUAAUAGGUAUUUUAUCCAGCGGCUACUCAUCAGGAAAAAAAGAUCACCAUCUACAAAAGUAUUAACAACUUACCAUCUUUGUUGAAGGUGGAAUAACUGUAUGGGCAUUUGCAUCUCCACUCUUUCCCGAGAUGACAAGAUUUUCUCUCGCAUACAUUGAGCUACCAUUCACAUGUGGCUCAAAAGAGAAUCCUUCUUGUCUUUUGUCUCUGUCAAGUUGAGUAAUACUGCUUCCAAUCUUGAUCGAGUCGUGUUUAUGUUGCAGAGAAGCAGAUUGUGAACUUAUCCCAUCAGGUCCUACUACAGCAUCAUCUAUGAUUCUUGUUCUAUCAUUUGCAGUUUUAAAGUCUGUAGGAGUCACAGGAAUUAAGACCUCAGCUCCCUCUUUAGCUGCUAUAUGUUGUUCUGAUGCCUGCACAGUAGAAACCUUACAGUCAUCUUAACAGAUAGUAAUUAUAAAAUCAACAUAUUCCAACCAAUUGUAAGUUCAAUGAAAUAAACAGUAAUGAGGAAGUAGCACUUACCAUUCUUAUCAACCCAUUCUCGGGCUAAGAUAAAGUUUCUAAGGCUUAUUCGAUGACAUUUUAUCAGACUCAUGUAACUGAAUCAAUCAAUUAGCACACUUCAUGUUUGUAGCUUUCCUAUGUUAACAUUAUGAUUCACUUGAUUGAUUUUGUUUUAUAAGUCAUACAAACAGCCUACUACAACCCAAAAUGCUUUCAUUUUUACUUCUGGACAAUGAUCACAAUUCACAACCCAUGUGAUGACUAAAAGAAAAAUGAGAUAAUAAUACAUAGAACAGAUUUAACAAAAUACAUUAUAACAAUACGAUCAGGGUUAUCAAAUCAGUGUAAUUAAUCUUACAUUUAGCAUACGUCCCAUUUUAAGUUGUUGAGCAGCAGCUUCAAAUGCAACAGCAUUCUGCAUAGCAUGCCUGAUGAUGCUAACAACUGCACCAAGAUUUCGCUCCACAUAUGGGUGUCUAGAUUUCAACAAUUGACGUAACUUGUGAGCAGCUACAGGCAUCUGCUUGGCUUUUAGCAGUAAGAAAAACAAAAAGUGCUUCAGGAAAUAUACCAACAAGCAGUAUGAAAAAAGAAGAUAAAUAUACUGGAAAUUGAUAAAAACAAGAAAGUUCCUACCGAUUUCAAGAAGCGUUUUGUUUGGCAAUACAUAACCAGUACUUUCAUCCUCUGCACGAGCAAUAAUGUCUCGCCAUUCACAAAGCCCCUAUAAACCAUUUAGGUGAGACGCAAGAUUAAGGGAUAUCAUCUAUUUUUUACUAGUAAGGCUAUUGUAUAUCAAAUAUGUUCUCUGAAUUAAAAUUAGACAUUUCUUAUGAUUUACCAACCAAUCCAUGUGUUAUCUUAAAAGUAAACAAAGGGCCAAGUAGAUAUGAAAUCAACAAAAACUUACAGCAACAACUGCUAGCUGCUCAGCAUUGAAACCAGCCACCUGCAACCUAUAUUAAAUAGAAGAAAAAACAAAGUUAUUUAGAAAUUAUGUAAUAUAUAUUUAAAUCAUGUAGCCUUAGCAAGUAACAAACCCAUGUAUAUGGAGAUAUGAAUUCUCUGUCAGGAGCUCUUUCCCAUACAGUUGUGUACAUACAUCAGAACUUCGCUUGUAGACCUGCUAGCAACAGAACAAUUGCUACUACGAUGACGGUCAAUAACAAAAAACAGAAAGCAACAAAGUUCAUAAAUUCAUGCAUCCAAGUAAACUAAUUUUGAAGGAAGAUGAAAUAGGCAAGAAAAGUAACAAAACAUAUACACUGUAUGCAUUUUACUCGAUGAAACCAAUGAAGGUAUCCAAGAAUCACAUUAUAUUGAUAUGGAUAGUUGAUCAACAAAUAAAUUUUCAACACCUAGCCUCAGUUGUAGGUUAUACACCGAAGAUCAAAUAAAAUAGAAGGUCAGAAGCCAGUAGAAUGUGGAAAGGAACACAGCUCUCACAUGAAUGUAACUAAGAUUAAGACUAUCAAAUCUCUAAGCUUCUGUUAACCUAGAAGUGUUAGCAUAUGAUAUGGCAUGCUGUUAUAAAUGUAGAAAAUGCUGUGAGCUAUCAUUUACAGCAUCAUACCUCUACCAAAGGAGCAUCCAAAUGUUCACCUUCCUGGGGCAUUGAUAACAAUUUGAUUCUCAUUAAAUCAUAAAUGUACAGUAAGUAGUGUGUGUCUUCUCUAGCGUAUCUGGCAUAAAAAUGGUAAUAAACAGAAACAAUUAAUAGACAGAUAACAAUCAAAGUUUCCUCUUCAAUAAUUGCAAUCAGAGUGACAGAACCUUGAAAUUUUCUUCAGAGUAAUAUGUUAGUUCAAAACAUAAAUAAAAAGCACUGUGUUUUUACUUCAUAUUGAUUAAAAAGUCAAAAUUAACGACUAUUCACAUCUGUGUGUUUGAAUUUCUUCUCAUAAAAAAAACAUAUAAAAUAUCAGUAAUGGUGGUCUUACAGAUUUUAUGGUUAAUUUUUUCCUUUUCUGACAAGUUUGAUGGGGUUAAGUCAGCACUACUUUGAGCACAGGAAAAAUAAAGAUGUCAUGGUUUGCAUAAAAUUGUUCAAAAGAAAUGAUGCUGCAGGCAAAACUAAGAAACAACAGUUUGUCAUAAAAACUAUGUCAAAUUUACAGUUGAAGUAAUGCUUUAUUUUUUUCUCUUUCUAUAAUUCAUUUUUUAAAAAGGAAGUGGUCAAUAGCAAUCAAUCAUUAGCUUUAAUGACAUAUGCAAGUGCAGCAAUUAGACAUUAUUUAACUAGCAAGAGAGAGUCAGGCAGCUGAAAGGUAAAAAAGCAACGUUACCUGAGCAUUUCAUCAGGAAGAGGACGCAAUCUCCAAUCUGCAUUCUGGUACCUACAUUGAGUCAACUAAUCAACCUUAAGGAGAUAGGAUAGGUGAUGAUCAAAGAGGAGAGAACUAGCAAGUAUAAGGAAGACGAUCAAAUAAAUUUAAAUAAAAACCCACUCUUUGUUGGCUGUAACUCCACAAAAAUGUUGCAGAAGAUGCUCCAAACUAUUUCUUUCCAAUUUCAAGACCUUUGAGGCCUGAGAAACAUGCAAAAUACAUAUUGGUAAGAACCCAACACAACAUUUAACUUCAAAAUAAAAACAAUCAAAUCAUGUAUUUAUUAAUUGCACUCAAAACUAAGCCUAAGCAUAUAUAAUCAAGACAUGGCACUUAGUGAAUGUCAAUUAGGCUCAAGAAAUCUGUGUGGGUGAUAAUAUUUCUAAGGCUAUAACAUCUAAAAUGGUUAAGAUAGUAUGUGGUAACUUUAUCAAUAAGUUCUUAUAAGCUUAGCACCAUUGUCAUCAUCCAUAAAACUAGUUAAGUUAGUUCAAUCAUUUAAACCACAUGUAAAGAGUUUUCAUGUAUGGUCUUUGUACCAAUUUCCUUUCCCCUAAGUCAUUGUCACACUGCUAAUUAACUCACAAAUAAGUUCAUAAAAAGUGAAUUGUUGACAAGGCCCACAUAAACUUAGCUUCGUAAAAUAUACCAAUAAAACCAAGAAUCUAACAGAAAAUUCUCAAAUUAAAUCCUCAAGUUCAUAGAAGUAGAAACCUGUCCAGUGUCAAAGAGAUUGCACACAUAUAUGCCAAAGUCUCGUUGAAGCCACACAAUAUCCCUGUCUGUUCCAUGCAUAACCUAUGUGAAUUAAGGAUAUCAAACCAUGCAAUAAGCUAAAAAAAAAAAAACUAUCAAGGGUACCAACCUUUUUCUUGGUGGGAUCCUUGAAAACUUCCCUAAGAUAUGGGCCAACAUGAAUUCGAAGCUUCAAAGUAUCUACAAUAAAAUCCUCAGUUCUAGUAGAAAUUUGCAUCAAGCAAGUUAGUCCUUGAAAAGAUCGAUAUUGGUUAUGCUCCAAAUCAGCCUGAGAAUAAUUACAGAGAAAAUGAACGACAGGCAAAGAGGUAACAUAUUAUGAGAAUACAGAAAAUUAAUCCUAUAUUUGAUGCAUACAAAGUCCAGUGUAACUGGUACCCCUGAAACCAGAGAUGCAUACACCCUUCUUCAGACCAGGUGAACAUUCUAUAUCUUACUAUGAAGCAAGAGCAAAACAUGCAUCAUCACAUAAAGUCCUAUUAUAAGUUGAAUUUUUACCGCAAACUCUUCCACACCGCGUAACUUAGCUGCUAAAUCCUUCAAAUCUUUUACUUCCUCAACCAGCUUAAAUGAGGUAGACUCCAUUGAUGGGGGUUUGAUGGGCUGAAUAUCUGCAAUAUCUUUUUCCACAAAAUCCAUAACAGAGAGGUUCUCCUGUAAAAGGGCAAUAGAAAUGUUUUUUCUCUUAUUUCAGCAAGCAACACAAAUUAACAUUUAACAGGAGAUAAACCAGAAAGUUUUAGAAGCUAUUGUUGAACAUGGUUGGAUGUGUGUGAGAUUUUGAGGUAUAAGAACAAUACAAAAAGUGAAAUUUUAUCACAUCCAUAUGUAAAUAUUAUUACUAAGGUAUCUCUCAAGAACAUGGUAACAUUCUUAAAAACAAGUGCAGCCUUUCCCAUCUUCUAAUUACUAUUAGCAACGUCACAAUUUACCCCAAUAAGAACAUAAGAAAGACGACCUUGAUUACAAGAUACCUUCCUACAAACCAACGUAAAUCAGAAAUACUAUCACUUCAAUGAACUAUUUUACUGAAAUUCAUUUUUUCUCUUUUCCUUUUAACCAUGCAAGGUGCCUUUAACUCUGGAGAACUUGAAAAAUUACAGUUAAUUCUCCUUAUUCAUCUUUUUUGUCUCCAUGGGAAAGAUUUCUGAGCUAUGAAACGUUCAAAAUAACUAUAUUAAUCACUCUUACUACGUCUUGUACAGAAAUUCAUUUUUUUUUUCCUUUUCCUUUCAACUAUGCAAGGUGCCUAGAAAACUUUAAAAGACAGUUAUAUUCUCCUUAUUCAUCUUUGCUGUCUCCAUGGGAAUGAUUUCAGAGCUGUGAGAACGUUCAAAACAACCAUAUUAAUCACUCUUGCUACUUCUUGUACAGAAAUUCAUGCCCCGGAAAAUAUACAGGUGUUGUAUCACUCAAAGAAAAUAAAAGCACCAAACUUAAUAGCCCAGCAAUUCUAAUAAAAGCAUUUCACUUAUGUCCAACUAUUCUAAUCCUGAUCACAAGCAUCAAACUCCCAAACCAGUGUCAUUAAGGUAUGUGCUUAGGUGCUGUGACUUAGCAUCAGAUGAAAAUGUGCUAGAGGCCAUUUAGGCCAAGGCUCAUUGAUCAGAAGCACACUUGGUGAGUGUAGGGACUAGGGACACCUUUUUGUAAAGUGGUUAAUGCAUGAAACCCUGCCUCAUUGAAAUUCUCUCUAAUUUCUUUGAUAGUAAAGAUGAGACAAUAUCAAAAUUCUACAUCUUAAUGUAUAAAUAUUCAACAACAAACAAUGAACAAAAAAAUCAACAACAAACAUGAGACCGCAAGAAACAUGCAUAUUGGUCAAAAAAGAAGAAGAAGCAUUUUUCUAAGAUAAAUUGGACCACCUUUUGAAUUCAUUAUCAGAAUAUCUUAAGCUUUUUUUUUAUAUAUAUAGACAAAGAUACACAAAACACAUACAUAGACAUAUUCCUCAGUUUACUCGAGGAAGCGCUUUUUUGCCCUUUGCACCUCGGUAUAGAAAAAUUAUGAAGUUAUCCGACAACAUACGAACCUCAACACUCAUUGAACUAACCAAACAAAAAUGAAACACUGUGAGGUUAUCCUAUAACAUACGUAACCAACUAAAAGCAGAAAUGUUGUGAAAGCAUUUAGGAAACAGUUAUAACAUAGUGAUUAACCCCAAAAGAAAAGAAAAGACAGAACUCCAUAAAAGACUGAUUAAACGGGGAAACAAAGACCAACCAGUGGAUGAACAAAACGCUGCCCAUCCUCACUCCUCUGCAACCAAACAUGUUCAAAAGGCUGAUUCGAAUUAUUCACAAGUAUAUUAUACUCUUCCUGAGGCUUCCGUAUCGUUGGUAUAUGAAAUGGCACCUUCGCUUUCCCAGUCGUCCCCGUAGCCAAUGCCUCUUUCUUCACCUUAACUCCAGAAGAACCCGAAAACCCACCUUCCUUCCCACUCACUGACACACCAACCGAGUCACUCACUAAACCACCGUUAAUUUUCUUCUUCUUCUUCCCGUAAACCAACUGAAACCCAUUAUUGUCAGGAUCCGACCCAAUAAACCGACCCGUUUCCUCUUCUUUCUUUCGAAUCUUAUGAAAUUCGUCGAUGGAAACGUCAAAUCGUUCCAAAAGUUCGUCGUUAAUAUCAACGAGCCAAUCAUAAGCUUCAUCAUCGGCUAUGCUGUCAAGGUUGCUAGGGAAAUUGAUGGCCUUGUUGGCGCCCCAUGUUCUAGCCGAAGCGCCAAUGGAUUCGAGCAAAGAAUCGGAUGUUUUGGCGAUUUGAUCGAUGGGAAGCUUGAAAUCGGAGAAGUUGUUGAAGAAAUGAAAGUCUUGAUUGGAAGGGAGGGUUGUAGAAGAGGAAGAGAGUGAAGAAAGAGAAGAAGAGAGAGGGCCUAGAGCUAAUGUUUGAAGAAUUUGAGAAUUUUCUGAAGGUUGAGAUUGGGCUUCCAUUGUUAUCUGAUCGUCGUAGUCGUUCAUCAUUGUUUUAGGGUAGAAAAAGCAUAUUAGGGUUUUAGAGAUUUUUGGUUUUCUUUGGGUUAAAUUCUGCUAUUAGUCUUUACACUUUAUGAAAAUUGUGGAUUUUGUUUUUAUACUUUACUUUGAUCAAUUUUAGUCCUUAUACUUUUUAAAUUGGUAAAUUUUAGUUAUUACAAUAUUCAAAGUUUGAAAUUUUAGUCCUGAACCAAAUAACAACAAUUAAAUUUGUUUGGUUAAACACAAUUAUCAGUUUUGUAAUAAGCAUACACUUGUAAAUUUAGUUCAUAUUCUCCAACUAAGUCAUUCUAAGUCCCUAUACUUAUCAAAAUUUAAAAUAUCAGUAUUGACAAAAAUUACAAUCGUUAAUCCAUUAACAUGAUUUUUAGUAAGGAAUAUGUGAAAAUAACAAGUUAACAUGACAUUACACAUAUAAUAAUAUAUUUGCUUAAUCAAAUUUUAGAAAUAGUAGAACUUAACUUAAUGAAUUUAACAGUUAUCAUUUAGAGAGGACUGAAAUUUUAAAAUUUAAAAAGUAUAAAAACUAAAAAGGUAACACUCCUAACCCGAAUUCGUCGCCAGAACAGGGUUACGGAAAUAUUUACAAAUUAUACAUAUUUACAGAACAGGGUUACGGAGCAUUACCGAAAUUUACAAAUUAAUUUUCAGACAUUUCAUUUCAUCUAGCAUUCAUAUUUGAAACCAACCAAAAUCAAAAUAUUAAUGAGCCAACGUUGGCUAAAUUAACUUAUACAUGCCAUUAUAACUAGAAUCAAAUCAUCCAAAAUUACCGAUAAAACCAAUGGAUAGUGUGAUAUAUCUCCGACAAGUUUCCAACCCAAUCGAGCUUCCGAUAAUUUGUAGGGUAAAUAAAAAAAAACAAAUACGUAAGUAAUGAAUGCUUAGUAGGCUCAUAUAGUCUUUAAUCAUAUUAAUUCUUUUAAAAUAUGAAAUCUAUACAUAUCAAGGAUAACCCAAUAUUGAUACCACAAUACCCAUGAAGCUAUAUUCAUCAACUUACAAAGUGAAUAAAUCCACAGUAUCACUUAAACAUAUUAUCCCAAGCUUAGUAGGAUUUUAUAUUACUUUAACUCUUGAUAAUUUCUUUAUUUUCACUUGAAUUUCUUUACUUUCCACGCUUGUUCCAUAUGCAUGUUACACAAGUCAUAAACAUAUCACUCAACCAUGGUCACAAGAUAGUGCAUUUACCCAAAGCCUUUCCCGAACUGAUCACAUGAUAAGUCAUUUCAUAAGAAAAUUGCUUAAUUUAAACCUUAAUACUUUUUCAUGAGCAGUAGCAUAUUUUCACUUAAAUACUUACCAAUUCAAUGCAUCAUAUAAAUAAUUAUAUUACCAUUCAAGACAACUCCCGAUAUUUUACCUUUCGAAGAACAACUUACGGAUAUGAGUACAUCGUUUUCAGAAGCCCGAAGGCUGAACUUAAGCUCAUGAGAGCUACACAGAUAGUAAACACGAAAGUCGCAACAAAUUCUGAACCUCGGUUUACUUGGGUAAUUUGCCGUCAAUUCAUCCUUUACAUUUGUAAUGCCAUAACUCAGUUAUGGUAUUAUCCGUCAAUUCAUCCUUUGGUAUAGAAUGAUUGUACUCAAUCCCGCAUUCAAUCCAAACUGGGUAUUAAAUUCGAUAAUAUAUUUCCAAUAAUAAUUCAAUUCCAUGUUUUCUAUUACCCUUAUUAUUUUCUAUAUUUAUCCCGUUGAAUUUCUCGAAAAUUCGAUGGAUUUUCAGAGGUACACUUUUAGUGUACAAAUUCGGGCACGUCAAUUCAUAUUCAUGUGCGCACAUUUUCAUUUUAGAGAGCAUACUCCCGCGAACCUCAUCCUUACAGUGGGAUUACCAGUCUAGGUUAAAUCCCCUGCAACGAAAAUUUACUCUAAUGAGCUUGGAUCUGAAUUACCAGUCCAGGCUAAAUCCCUUGCAACAACAAUUUACUCUAAUGAGCUUGGAUCUGAAUUACCAGUCCAAGCUAAACUCAGACCCUAAUUCGAAUUACCCGUCCGGGCUAAAUCCAUUUUCCACAUAUUCUUCUAGAGGGCUAUAUCAGGAUAGGAUCACCCGUUCGGGCUAGAUCAUUUUUACCUUCAAUUCAUUUUCAGAGAUCCAUCGAUUUUUUUUCCAUUCAACCGGGAUUUAUUCCCCUUUUUUUUCAAAUAUAUCAAUGUUUCAUCAAUUUUCAUACAAUGAACAUUCAAAUCAUAUUCACAUCAAUAACAAACAUUUCAAGUAUUUAAGAAUAUAAUUCAAGUUACACGAACUUAUCGGGCUAAAUUGCAGAAAUACCAAAAUUUAGGGACAUUUUGAUAAUUUUUCAUUUUCCUUGAAUUUCCACCCAAUCUUGAUCUAAAUUAAUAUUUCAUUCAAUUUAUUAAUUUAAAUAAUAAAACAAUUUAUUUCAUGCAAUUUGGUCAUUUUUGACAUUUUUACAAAAUUACCCUUAAAAAUUUACUUUUAUUCAAUUUAGUCCCUAAACCUAAAACAUGUAAAUUAGCUACUUUAAAAUAAACUCAUAUUAGCUGAAUAUUCACAUAUAUUUUUUCUCCUCCUCCACUCCAUUCCACAUCCUUGAUAUAUACAUAAUACCACUAUUUACUUGUUUACUCAUAACAAGUUGUUCACUUGAGUCAUAAUCACUAAAUUAAUUAUAUCUUAAGUUACAGAACUCCAAAUUGAGAUACAAAUUUUUUUUUAUGAAACUAGACUCACAUAUAUUCUUACCAUAAAAUUUUCAGAAUUUUUGGUUUAGCCAAUAAGUACAGUUUAUUCUUUAAAUUUUCACCUGUUUCACUGUUUGACAGUUCCGACUUCUCUUCACUAAAAAUUAAUUAUCUCUUUGUACAGAAUUCGGAUGAUGUUCCUAUUUGUUUCUAUUGAAAAUAGACUCAUUCAGGAUUUUAAACAUAUAAAUUUAAGCCUCUAAUUAGUUUUAUUCAAUUUUUGAUGAUUUUCCAAAGUCAGAACAGGGGAACCCAAAUUCAUUCUGAUAUUGUAUCACAAAAUUUAUUAUAUCUCAUGAUUUAGAAUUCCAUUACUUACACCGUUUCUUUUAUGAGAAACUAGACUUAAUAAUAUUUAAUUUCAUAUUUUUUUCAUCCUAGAAUUCGAUUUCCAUAAUUUAUGUUAAUUUUUCAAAGUUAACCUACUGUUACUGUCCAAAACUGUUUUAGUGCAAGAUGUUUAUUACCAUGUUUAUAACACCCUUAUUUUCUUUCUCUACACUAUUUCUCAUCACUUUCUCUUCACUAACAUAUCAAGAACAUAGGACCAUAUAUACGAAAACUUUACAUUAACAUCAUUUGCAUACUUUUUCAAUAAUAUCAAACUUAAAAAUAUAUUAAAAUCUUGAUGUUCUUACCUUGUCAUAUUGAUUUCAAUCUUUAACUUGAUUUUCUCUCUCCUCCAGCUUCUAUUUCUUGAAUCUAACUUGAUAUUCUAGCUCCCCAUAGUCUCCUUGUUAUAUUUCUGUCUUGAUGGAUAUGUAAAUUCUUUUGAUUUUUAGAUGAAAAUGGUAAAUUUUUUGUGGAAAAACCAAAUUGUAAAGAAAGCAAAACUUUUUUUUUCUCUCUUUUUCUCACGUUGUGCAUGGGAAAAGUGGUGGGUUGGAUGAUUCUUCAUCUCCCUUUUCUUAUAUAUAUACUAAAUAAAAUAAUAAUAAAAUAAUAAAAUAUCAUUUAAAAAUCAAAUUAAAAUAUUAAUAAACUAAUAUUUAUUUAUUUAAUUAAUCUAAAAUAUCUCCAACAUCAUCAUUAUCUUCUAGAUUUCUCUCUCUUCUAAUUGACCAUUUUGCCCUUCAUGAUCUUUUAAAAUUCCAUCCUUGAGUCAUCACUUAAUUUGGUAAAAUUGAGAUUUAGUCCCUCAAAAUUCUUCACCUUUUUCAAUUUGGUCAUAAUCCAUCCAUUUUCCUUAGUUUCUAAAUCAUUCCACCCUUAAAAUAUUUACACCAUUGGUCCUUCAACUUUUUCAUAUUUACACUUUAACACCUCAAAUUUUGAGUAUUUACUCUUGGGCAACAAAACUUUUCUCACUUUUGCGAUUUAAUCCUUUCUUGAACUAAUAUGUCAUAAUAUACUUCCCAAUGUUGACAUAACUCCAAAAUUUCCCCCUUUUUUGUCGUUUUAUUUCCUUAUUUUAUUAUAUCAAAGGUAAUAUCUUACUGUAAAAAUUUUUGGGGUAUUACAAAAAAUUACCAAAUUCUAAUACAAAGAUUAAAUCCACAACUUUUGUAAAAAUACAUAAAUUUAAUUAGGGAAAUAAUUUUACAUUUUUUCAUAUUUGUUCUAAGAAAAUUAGUUUAAUCAAUAAAAUAUAACCCUCUAUUUGAAAAACAAAAAAAUUAAGUGCUAAAAAAUUAAAUAUAAAAAAAUUUAAGUGAUAAUUCAAGUUAUAAAACAUGUUUGAGAAAAAAAAAAUUAAGGGUUGUUAUAAAACAUGUUUGGUAUAUUAUUAGAUAUCAGAAAAUUAGGUGUUCUUAUAAAACAUGUUUGACAUUAUUUAAAAUUAACAUAAUAUAAUUAAACUAUAUGAAGAGGAAUAAUAUAAUUUUUUUAAAAAUAAAAUAAAAUAAUGUAAUGUAUUUUAUUAAGUGAUAAGCAGAUCCUAUUUUUUUUGCAAAAAAAAAAAAUCUACGGUUAUCAAACUUGUUUUAAUUAAAUGAUUGAAAAUAUUAAUUCUAAUUAGAUUAUUUUUUAAUAGCUUAUCAAAUAGGGCCUGAGUUAACCUCUUUUUUUUUUUUAAAUUGUCUUUCACUUUUGAUUAUGGUAGUCAAUAUCGUACCAAUAUUGGUCGAUAUUGUUUCAAUCUUAAAUCAAUACCAAAUAUUCUAUGUUCCGUUUUGAUCACAAUUUUGGUGCAUUUUGGUCAUUUCAGUGUAUUCCCCCAAUUUCAGUCAAUAUUGGCUUGUAUUUGCCCGUACUGGUUGGUACAAAAUUUUGGCAUUUCAAACCAAUUUUUAAUAUUUUUAUUUUACCCAUUUUAUUUUUCCAUAAUUAUAUUUAAAAAUAAAAAUUACUAAAUUUAUUUAUUCAACUUAAUUAAUAAUUUUAAAGUUUAUAUUUAUGUAUAAAUAUAUUUAUAUGAAUGUAAAUGAAAUAUAUUUACAUGUAUAUAAAAUGUAUAAUUUAUUUUUUGACAAAAAAACAUAUAAUUUCUGAAGAAACUAAAACUUAGGCUAUAAAUAUAUAUGUGAAAAAUAUUUAAAUGUAUAUAUAAUUUAUCAAGAAAUUAAAAAUUAGAUUAUAUAUAUGUAUAUGCGAACAAUAUUUAAAAGUAUCAAUAAACC
rnacentral:lncRNA from 1 species